rnacentral:snRNA from 1 species
GGAUGUGAGGGCGAUCUGGCUGCGACAUUCAUCAUCCCAAUGAUUGCCAGGGUUGAUUUGGCUGAUCUGGCUGGCUAGGUGGGUAUCUCCCUCUUCCCUCACAGAUCCCUGCGUCCCUCCCUAAGGUCGAAAGGACGACCUUCCCCCCAGAGGAGAGGACCCGUCUUUGUCUUUGGUCAAGGGUAUACGAGUAGCUGCGCUCCCCUGCUAGAACCUCCAAACAAGCUCUCAAGGUCCAAGACUCCAGACACAUCCAAAUGAGGUGCUGCACAUGGCAGUCUUUCUUU